rnacentral:tRNA from 1 species
GCUUGGGUGGUUCUGCGGUAGAACUCUUGUCUUCCAUGCAGGAGACCUGGGUCGAUUCCCAGCCAAUGUA